rnacentral:rRNA from 1 species
UACGAAGGGGGCUAGCGUUGUUCGGAAUUACUGGGCGUAAAGCGCGCGUAGGCGGUUUUGCAAGCCAGAGGUGAAAUGCCUGAGCUCAACUUAGGAAUUGCCUUUGGGACUGCGAGGCUUUGAGGACGGGAGAGGUGAGUGGAAUUCCCAGUGUAGAGGUGAAAUUCGUAGAUAUUGGGAAGAACACCGGUGGCGAAGGCGGCUCACUGGCCCGUUUCUGACGCUGCAGCGCGAAAGCGUGGGGAGCAAACAGG